CAAGACAUCAAAACACUACAACUCCUACUAUCUCUCUCUCUCUCUCCAAAAUCGUGCAAACCAAACACCCCCACUCCAUUUUCAUUUCAAAUUUCAAAUUCAAGAGUUCUUGCACAUAUGGAGAUCCAUGGAUGAAACAAGCCUCAAGGGUGUUUAGUAAAGCUAUUAGGAGCCUUUUUGGUGGAACUUGAAGCCAUAAAUCAUCAAGAUUUUCAAAUCUUCAUCUUUGUUUCUUUGCAAAAAUUGUCGAGAAACGAACCGCGAACAAGGAAUCGAAUAGAGAUUUGCACGGAACGCAAAUCUGAGAUUAGUGGACGGCUAUGAAAAAAUAUGUUCAAGUGGUUAUCAAGAACGCAAGCUUUUGUGAUGUCAUCCGUUUUUAGUGUUAUGUUUUAAACUUUGAAUAAUGUAGUUAAAGUUGUUGUUUCAACUUUCAAA